GGGGGAGGGCUGAAGCCAGGGAGUAAAGGCAUACUCUGGAUGGCUCAUUGGCAGGCAAGGUUCUGGAGGAAGGCAGGGACGGAGUCAGAGCCCCCAGGCGAGGGUUGGGCUGUAUUCCUUCUGGGACACAGCAGAGGCCUCUGCCAAGGUAAAAAGCUCUAAGCAGAGACAAGUGAGGGAUCUGGAAGCUACUUACCAAGGACAAGGACUCAUCAGGACUUGGGCUGAAGGAGUGAGGGAAGCAGGGAGGGCAAGACUUGGGCGCCAGCCUAGGGGGAUGGGAGGCACUGGCUUCAGGUGCAGGUUUCAGGACAGGUUGAGUUAGAAAUCCUGGGGGCCCUCCAGGUGGCAGUGUCAGGAGAAGUUGCCUUGAAACCAGAAGAGCACCUACGUAGAGAUCCACAGUCACAAGCAGUAGACACCAUGGGCUGGACAGAUGGCUCCAGACAGAACCCGGAGGUGCACAGGCAGCAAAGGAGCCCCAAGGAGAAGGAGAAGGUGUGCCGGGAAAGGCAGAGCCAGUGCAGAGAAGAGACCUCUGGGAGGAAGAGGAAGUGUCAGCAAUGUCCAACGCUGCAGAGAUAUGAAGCAAGGUAAGAGCGGAAAAAACAUCCAAUGACCCCGUGAUGCAAUCAGAAAAGCAAGAUAACUUCACGGCCCCCUUCUGUCGCUUCCCGCACUGACUCACGGCCAAGGACACAGAAUCGUACUUCCUCCCUCCCCCUGGAAAAGCACGACUUUUGUACCCAAGUUCUGGACUCUCUGGAGGGGGGACAGGACCAGCCUCUGGGGUUUGAAGACCGGGGACUGUCCAACCCACCCGACCCCAUGGAAACAGGAGUGUGGCCACUUAGGUGGGGAAGAAGAAAGAGGAAAGAAAAAAGAGAAAAAGCUGGAGGAUGGGGCCCGAGGGGGGUCCAGUUCCUCUUCGACUCUGUUCUUCACCCUCUGACGCCAACGGGUCCCCACUCCGAGCUGAGCGCUACCUCAGACAUACCUCUGGCCUUCAUGAACAGGAUGUCCUUUAACCAACCCCCUCUGAAAUCUGGACUCCUCCAGCUUCCUUUCUCUCCAGCCUCAGACCUCCCCGCUCCCCACCGCAGUCCCCGGCUGGUCAGGACCAGCUGCUCAGAAGAAAGCCGGUCUCUCAGCUGCCCCAGGCCAUUCCCACAGCAGCUCGGAUGGUGGGUCGGGAGGCCGUGCCGUUCCCCGCUGGAACUCUGUCAAGUGGAGCACCCAGCUGUAUGAAGGACAAUAAUCUCUCCCGACUCCACAGGGCGGCCUGAGGAUGGAUAAUUACACGUCAGCUCCAGAGGAUGACUAUGACGUCCUCAUAGAGGACGACCUGAAUAGCGGCGAGCUAGAACGAUGCGACCGCUACGACACCAAGAUCCUGGAGGCUCGGGUGGUACCGCAGCUCUCCACCACCGUGUUCCUG
ensembl:lncRNA